rnacentral:rRNA from 1 species
AGUGAAUAGAUACCCAGGUAGUCCACGCCCUAAACUAUGGAUACUCGACAUUUGCGAUAAAACUGUAAAGUGUCUGAGCGAAAGCAUUAAGUAUCCCACCUGGGAAGUACGAUCGCAAGAUUGAAACUCAAAGGAAUUGGCGGGGGUCGGCACAAGCGGUGGAGCAUGUGGUUUAAUUACGAUGAUACGCGAGGAACCUUACCUGGGCGUAGAAUGCUGGGAGACCGUGAGUGAAAGCUCAUUUGUUAGCAAUACACUGCCAGUAAGGUGCUGCAUGGCUGUCGUCAGUUCGUGCCGUGAGGUGUUGGG